UUUCAAUUUAUAUUAAUUCUCAUUCUGUUUUCUUCAGGAUUAUUACUAUGAUUCAAUUAGAAUCCAUUGCAUUGCGAAGUGAAUUACCCGACAAAUAUAUCACGGUUGCGAGGGAUGCUCACCUGAAUGAAACUGGCGACCUGACGAACGUCUUCCGUGAGCGCUCGAGCGCACGCGAUCAGCUGAUCGAGGGGAUCCGGCUGUGCAGGCAGUAGCAACGAAGAUGGGGGUCCGUUAGUAGGUGUUGGUGUAUCGCCACCGCCGCGGCAGAGCUUGCUCGCGUCCCAUUCCAUCGUGUCCAAUUCGGUGGCGGCUUCCUGCACGAGCUUGUCGGAAUCACGAAGCGCUUUUACUAGCGGCCGUAAUUUCGUUGCCAGACCUUUGUCCGGCGCUUUGCCCGCAUUGCCUAGCGUGCCUGUGCGCAAAAUAGCAUUUUCAAAAUUUAGCAAUCUAUAUUUAAAUAUAGAAAAUAUUUCGAGAAAGUUUAUACAAAAUUGUAGAUAAAAUUGUGCAAAAUCUAAUUUAUCUCGUAAUUUAUCAUUUUUUUUUCUCUAUGGAGAUUUGUCUUUUACAUUGUUCCAUAAGAUUAGAAAAAUGAUGAAAUGUGUAGAGUAGCUAUAUAAAUUAAAAAAAAUAUAUAUAUUAAACCGAAGGAGCUGUAGGCAAUCACCUUCAGCGAAUUCAGCUAGAUCGUGCAGAGACGUUCUGAGUCUGAGAGCAGCCAGCCUUAGGUCCAUAAGAGUGGCGUCCAGUCGCUGUGGCGUUCUCCAGCCAGGACUCACGAAACCCAGUAACCUCGCUAUCGCGGCGGACGCCUCAUUCUGCAAUCUUUGCAAGCCUUCCAGGGCGGAGUCCAACUCCAGCGGAAGCUCCUUGCUGACUGGCACGUCGUAAAUCUGUUGCGAGGGUGGCGGCGGCGUCGGGGUGUUGGGAACAGGGGUGUUGUGUCGGGACGGCAACGAGGAUACUGGAAGACGUGGUCGAGGUACAUCAUAAUCCGGAGCGGCCAAACUCGAUCUGGAAUUCAGAACAUCCAUGUAACGAAACCAAAAAAAAAGAGUUCAACUAAGAUGCUUCGGCUGCGCAAGCUCGACCAUAUCCGGACCAGCGCAUUUCGGAGGGAUUCCUCGGAGGAAUAAGGCGAAAGCCGUACCUGUUCGAGCCACUUAGGGACCCGUCGUUGGUGAGACUCGAGGCUGAGCUGCUGGGAGUGAGAGGUUGCAGAGGCCGUGGCACGUCGUAGCAAUCCAGUGGCGUGAUGCCGGAGCAAUUCGAGUUCGGGGUGCAGGAUGUCGGCGGCCUGGGGAUGUCGUAGCACGACGGGGCCGGGCUCGGGCUGCUCGUCGGAGACGAUAUCACCGGGAUCGCGCGCGGCGGUACGUCGUAACACUCGUUCACGUCGCUGCCUCCGUUGUCCACGGAAUUCCGCACGCUGUUGUUGCUGCCGCUGAUGUAUCGCCCUGCGCAGGUACAAGUUUGCCCAUUUGACAAAAGAGACGGAGAGAAAUUCCUUUAUAAUCUUGGAUGGGAUUUGUGAGCUAGCUUGUCCGAACCUGUCUAACAAGGUGUGAGAUUCUUGCUACGGGUCUCCGGGACCUCUUUGUACGACGAACAACGGAAUCUAUUUGGCGAAAGUGUAGAUAACAAGGGAGUAAGAUUUCCAGUAAGCACAACGAAUGCUUUUAUCAAUAUAUUUUUAUUCACAAAAAUAAUUGCAUUUUGGCAGAAAAAUAUGCUGUCCGCAGGCUACGAAAUUUGAUUAAAUUUUUAAAAUAAAAAAAUAUGCUUCACAAGAGGUAAAUAUUCCAAACUGUCAAAAAAAUUAUGUAAAAUAAUGAAAAUUGUGCAUCCGUGAUUUUAAUUAAAAAUUCAUCCGCUAAACUACCCCAAAACUUCAUCAAAUUUUUUUUUCUGUUUUGCGAAAUGAAUCAAUAUCUCAAUUACUUAAUGCAUAAGCUGUAGCAGACAGUUUCAUCACAAUCGACCGUUCGGAUACAGACCGGGUGUUUAGUUUGCGAAUAAUACGUACCUGUAUUGUGCGAAUGCUCAUUGUUCGUCGAGUUGAGGGGUGAGUCGUGUCUGGAGGGUGGCGCGGGACUCCCCCGACUCGCCGGGAGGUCGUACAGGUAGACGUCCCCACACUUCUGCGGCGUAACAACCUGCACAAUCAAAAUCAACAAUUAAUUACAUCCAGAUUAAUUAGCGGAAUCGGUGCUCCGCAUCUUCGAGCCCUCGCGGUCGCUCAUUUUUCAUCAUCAUUUAUUCGCUUUAUGAAUGAAGCGGUAAACCUCCGUGACAGUAAAUUUCAUUGAUCGAACUGCGAAAAUUAUUACAUCCAGAUUAAAAAAUUCAAUUUAGUAGCUAGUAAUGAAAUUUGAUGUUGGUUAAUCUCUAAUCUUGACAAUCAUUAAUGUAUAAUAUAUUUUUAACGAUAUAAUUUACAUAUAAUAUAUUUAUAUAUAUUUUGUAAUUAGAAAUUUAAAGAAGGGAUAGAAAAGAUAAACAAAACAAAGUACAAUUUUUAAUACAUUAAUUAUUAAUACAUUCGCAGCUAAAUCCAAGUGUUUCAUGAUAAAACAAGAGUCUUGAAUUGUUUUUUAGAAUCGUAUGAUCCUUUCUUCAGCCAAUAUUAUUAUGUAGACCCUAUAUCUUUAAAAAUUAAAUAUAGCAAUUUUU